rnacentral:snRNA from 1 species
AUGCUAGCUUUGAUAGCCCAUAUAGUAUAAUUGGAAUGAUACUGAGAAGAUUGGGAUGGCCCCUGCACAAAGAUGACAUCAAUUUGGUGAAACAUUCCAUAUUAAA